rnacentral:rRNA from 1 species
GAUGAGCGCUGGCGGCGUGCCUAAUACAUGCAAGUCGAGCGAACGGACGAGAAGCUUGCUUCUCUGAUGUUAGCGGCGGACGGGUGAGUAACACGUGGAUAACCUACCUAUAAGACUGGGAUAACUUCGGGAAACCGUAGCUAAUACCGGAUAAUAUUUUGAACCGCAUGGUUCAAAAGUGAAAGACGGUCCUGCUGUCACUUAUAGAUGGAUCCGCGCUGCAUUAGCUAGUUGGUAAGGUAACGGCUUACCAAGGCAACGAUGCAUAGCCGACCUGAGAGGGUGAUCGGCCACACUGGAACUGAGACACGGUCCAGACUCCUACGGGAGGCAGCAGUAGGGAAUCUUCCGCAAUGGGCGAAAGCCUGACGGAGCAACGCCGCGUGAGUGAUGAAGGUCUUCGGAUCGUAAAACUCUGUUAUUAGGGAAGAACAUAUGUGUAAGUAACUGUGCACAUCUUGACGGUACCUAAUCAGAAAGCCACGGCUAACUACGUG